rnacentral:rRNA from 1 species
CCUACGGGUGGCAGCAGUAGGGAAUCUUCCACAAUGGGCGAAAGCCUGAUGGAGCAACGCCGCGUGGGUGAAGAAGGUCUUCGGAUCGUAAAACACUGUUGUUAGAGAAGAAAGUGCGUGAGAGUAACUGUUCACGUUUCGACGGUAUCUAACCAGAAAGCAACGGCUAACUCCGUGCCAGCAGCCGCGGUAAUACGUAGGGGGCAAGCGUUAUCCGGAUUUAUUGGGCGUAAAGGGAACGCAGGCGGUCUGUUAAGUCGGAUGUGAAAGCCUUCGGCUUAACCGGGGUAGUGCAUUGGAAACUGGGAGACUUGAGUGUAGAAGAGGAGAGUGGAACUCCAGGUGUAGCGGUGAAAUGCGUAGAGAUAUGGAAGAACACCAGUGGCGAAAGCGGCUCUCUGGUCUGUAACUGACGCUGAGGUGCGAAAGCGUGGGUAGCAAACAGGAUUAGAUACCCUUGUAGUC